rnacentral:rRNA from 1 species
AUGGCCUUCAUACAGGCUAUUCAUAUGAAUCCAGGGCACGGCAAAACAAGCUAUGCACGCAACUCCAGUUUUCAGAAUGCUGAGCAGAACAGGAUGAAGCCUCUGAUAGACGCGGCAAUCACUGACUUAUGCAGCAACACCAACACCUUGUUGCAUGGAAAGAUGAUGAUCGUGGAUGUGGGCUGCUCCUCUGGCCCAAAUGCGGUAGCACUGAUAUCAACUGCCAUUGACGCCAUCCAUGGUCACUACCUUCAGAUAAACCAACCACCACCGGAAGUGUGUGUGCUACUAAACGGCUUGCCUGACAACGACUUCAACAUGGUGGUGAAGAACUUGGUCACGCUUCGUCAAAGCAAGAAGACUAUUGUUGUGACUGGUGUCGCACCGGGGUCAUUUUACGAGCGAUUGUUCACUAGUGACUCCUUGCAUCUUGUCUGCUCGUCCAACAGCUUGCAUUGGCUCUCAAAGGCUCCUGAAGUUUUAACAAGGAACCACAUCCCGGUAUACGACAUUGAUGAACACGCUAGGCGUGAAAGGCUCCCUGUGGUCCGUGAGGCCUAUGCACAACAAUUCAGGAAAGAUUUCUCACUUUUCUUGGAGCUGAGAGCCAAGGAAUUGGUCUCAGGAGGCCGAAUGGUUAUUUCCCUGGUAGGGACGUGUUCUAACGCAAUUGCCUCCAAAUUCAUUAUUUUCCCGGGAAUUGUAGCUCAGAUCCUGAGUGUCCUGGUCGCAGAGGGUGUGAUCGACAAAGCAAAGUUUGAUUCUUUCUACGUGCCAUUGUAUGGACCUUCCAGCGAAGAGCUGAGGGAGAUCAUUGAGGCAGAAGGCUCUUUUUCGAUCAGGGAGAUGCGGGUGCACGACCCUAGAACAUACAUGACCACCACCCUGAGCACCCCAACCAGGUUUGUGAACAAUCUAAGAGCCUUAUUUGAGCCGAUAAUAGUCCAGCAUUUCGGAAAGGUUAUGGAUGAAUUUGCGAUGGCCGCGGAGCUGUAUUGGAGCCUAGAUGGGAACUUGCAAGAGGAGCGUGCCAGAACAUCUCGAACUAUGCUAGCUGUAUCCCUCGCAAAGGCAUGA